rnacentral:rRNA from 1 species
CGCGUAGGCGGCCAUCUAAGUCAGACGUGAAAUCCCCCGGCUUAACCUGGGAACUGCGUCUGAUACUGGAAGGCUUGAGUAUGGGAGAGGGAUGUAGAAUUCCAGGUGUAGCGGUGAAAUGCGUAGAUAUCUGGAGGAAUACCGGUGGCGAAGGCGGCAUCCUGGACCAUUACUGACGCUGAGGCGCGAAAGCUAGGGAGCAAACG